GCUAGGCCUACCGCCACCACCUUGAAUCGCAGGGCCCUAGCAGUGCUUUUGCACAGCGCCUCGUACCAGGAGCUGAGGUGUCCGCUCAGCUUAUUUACACUAAGCGCUCCAGCCUGAAGAGCCAGAAGCAAGACCACUGCAUGGGGCACCCUGUGAGCAAGUGAAACUGGAUUAACCACAAAGCAACAAAAAGGUAUGAAACGUUGUUGGACGAGGUCAUUGAGAAGAUGUAACCACUGAGUGAUCUGCAUGCUGGACCUGGGCAAUCAAAGGCACCUCAUCCUCUCUCCUGUCCUUGGACCUACACUUUACAUUCUACCCACCAUUCCCACAGUGCAAAGGUGUUGACUAGACCUCUGGAUGGUAUAUGUGACUCAGUCCAGUAAAGGCCACUAUAUAAACUCUUAAGAUUCUGGUUGGAAAAUACGGAGAACAGCUUGUCUUGCACCUGCCCAAGAGAAUCCUUUUAAAUUAUGUGCCUGACACACAGCUGGUGCCUAUGAUCUCUUCUGCUGUUGGAGACGGGGAUCAUGUGUUCACAGUGAUAGCCAGAGCUUCCUCCUGCUUCCUGUGGCUUAUCUCUAUGAAUUAGAAAAAACUAGGAAGAAAAGAUUAAUUGAUUCCAGAAAACCAUCCCCAGAUGAUGCUCCCACUAGUACAAAAGAGAGGUAGGAAUGAUACUAAUUGUUUUUAUCAUUUACUUGGGCAUGUUGUCAUGAAGCUGUUUUAGAGAUGAAAAACGUUUUUAAAACGUGGAGAUUAUAGUUAAAAGACAUACUCCUUAUUUGCCUCACUUUUCACUCUGUUUUUCCUAUUCCUUAGAACUCUCUUUUCUUUCAUUCAAGAAAUGUAGGCGUUUAUUCUAAAUUAGUUGCUAUUACUAAGAAAUUUCCAUGAGUCUAAAGGACAUGUUUAUUUUUGCACAUAGACGUUAUGUAACAAUCUGGUUUGGGCAGAAUUAUAGGUAUUCAGUAUCCCAUUAAUCUCUGUGAAACCUUCUGGAAUGAUAUGAAUGCAACAACAUUGCUGAUGACAUUUUUUAUCAAUCAACUAUAGAAAUUCUUUAGAAUUUUGCAUUUAGUUGCAGUUGUAGUCUGUCUUUGACAGCUUGCUUUCUAAGUUGUAGGGUACUCUUGUGAGACUGUUCUUGUACUAUUUCAGGAACUUCUUGAAAUUCUAAAAUAUUAAUGAGUGGAAUUUGGCAUAAGGUAAUUUACCUGGGAAUGCUUGUUGCCAUAUUUGGGAUUAAAUGAUUUCCACUGUUGCGAAUUUAUACAAAACUUAAACUGUACAGUUGCAGUCAGCUUUUCUGAAUUAAGGAGUAAGUGAAAGUGGUUAUAGAGUCAUUUUGUAAAUAAGACACAGGAGACUGCUAAGGUGCAUAUUCUUACUUAAAUUCAGUAUCUCUCAGUAAACUUGAAGCUGCACUGCAGUCAUACCAAUAUGAUACUUGUCAAUUUUGGUUUUCCUACCAAAUAUCCCUCAUGAGUUCAGUUUGAUAACUACCUGUAUUUACUAAUACCUCAGAAAAAUAAAAAAAAAACCCACAAAAUUUUCACUGUGUGGUGUUUUUAGGCAAAAUUUAAUAGAGAUUCAAAGUAAAGAAUGAUGCAGAUGUGGCAUUUCAUGUGAUUACAAACAAUACCAUUAGAACUUUCAAAUCUUUAAGGAAAAAAAGUCAGAGCUUUUCAAUAUUUUUUAUGUCACUUUAUGUAAGCCUACUUAAACAUUUUUUCAUUUUAUAUGUUAUGGCCUCUAAAGGAUUUACCAAAAUAGCUGGGUUUUUUGUAAGAAAAAUAUGUUCACUCAAGCACUGAGCAAAAAUAACUUCAGGUACUGUAGAUUCCUUUCUAGAGAUUGUUUUAUUUUUAUUUUUUUUCUCUUUUUGCCUUUUCUAGGGCUGCUUCAGUGGCAUAUGAAGGU